rnacentral:lncRNA from 1 species
UCGAGUCUUAGAACUAAGUGUUCAGUGCGGUUAGGGGCCUAGGGAGCCACACCGAAGGACACACUGCAGAAGCAGACAGUGGAAAGCAUGUGCUUUCACAGCAAGAAGUGGCACGGCCAGCUGUGUGAAGGUUCUGUUGCACAGAUCUUCUGAUGCUAUCCUUUGAGAAGGACUUAACUGCUGUUAAAUCCCGAGCAAAUUCUGCUACUGGGUAGAGUACCUACUGUCUGCAUAUCCAGACUAUCGUGCAAAGCUUGCUGUUACUAUCUGCUGCCGAAUAAAUCUUUCACAUGAAGAA